ACAUUUAAUAGUGUAGUAUAAAAGUUAAAGAAAUGAGUCAAGCAUCUCUUUUACGAAAGACACUGAAAGAGAUUGUGAAUGUGAAGGAUAGCCAGGAGCAAUUUGGGUGCACUAUCAAUCAUAUUAAUAAGAUUGUUUAUCUGGAAGGCGAGCUUGAUUAGUCAACUUAAAUUGGAACGUGAGUCAACUUAAAUUGGAACGUGGUGCGCUGAAAGAAUUCUGGAGAAGAAUAUUCAGGCAAGGGUAAAAGUGAGAUGAACUGAAGUGCUAGACUUGGUUGGAUUUGCAAGUAGAAGUAUUAUGUAAUCGACAGAAGUGUUUUAAAUGUGUACUUCGUAGUAGACUUGUGUCCUGGACGUUUAUAGAAGCUAUGUAAGACUUCUGAUAUAAGGUAAAAUAUACAUUUAAGUUAUAUUAAGUUUGAGAUUAUGAAGAUAUAGUUCGUUGUGUUCAGUAGAAUGGCACCCCCGGGUCGGGUUGCUGAGGUCAUCCCGGGCCGGGGGCGUCACAGGUGAGAUCCUCAAGCGCUCCUCGGGCGUCCUUGGCGCUCACGGGGCGCUCAUAGGGCGUUUCUAAGGCACUCAUGGGCGUUGGGUGUUUUUCAACACCCAAGUUGAUUGUCGACCUCACCCAGGUCGAUUUAGGACAUCUUGGGUGCCC